AUGUAUGGGAUGAGUGUACAUAAGAGUAGUAGGAAAUGAGCUGUAAUGGGAAGACUAAAAACUGGGAAAUAUUCUCAAAGUUGAAAGAGGAAUAAUGGUAAAAAGUACAGUCAUGCAUUGCUUAAUAAUAGAAUUGUGUUCUUUAGGCAAUUUUGUCCUUGUGUGAACAACAUACAAUGUACUUACACAAACCUAGAUGGUAUAGCUUACUGCACACAUAGGCUGUAUGAUAUAGGCUAUUGCUCCCAGGCUACAAAUCUGUAUAGCAUGUUGCUAUACUGAAUACCAUAGGCAAUUGUAACACUAUGGAAAGUAUUUCUGUAUCUAAACACAUCUAAGUAUAGAAAAUGUAUAGUAAAAAUAUGGUAUAAAAGAUAAAAAAUGGUACACCUGCAUAGGGCACUAACCAUAAGUGGAGCUUGCAGGACAGGAAGUUGCUCUGGAUGAGUCUCCGAGUGAAUGGUGAGUGAAUGUGAAGGCCUAGGAUGCCACUGUACACUCUGUAGACUUUAUAAACACUGUACACUUAGGCUGCACUAAUUUAUAAUUUUUUUCUUUCUUCAAUAAUAAAUUAACCCUAGCUUACAACUAUUUCCUUUAUAAAACUUGAAUUUUUUAACUUUUUGACUCCUUUGUAUAACACUUUGAUUAAAAUACCAACACCUCGUACAGCUGUACAAAAAUGUUUUCUUUUAUAGAUCCUCAUUCUUUAAGCUUUUUUCUAUUUUUAAAUUAAAAUUUUUGAAUUUUUUUAAACAAUUGUGUUAAAAAACUAAGAAAAAAGGACAGACAUUAGCCUAGGACUACAGGGUCAGGAUCAUUAAUAUCACUGCCUUCAACCUUCACAUCUUGUAUCACUGGAAGGUCUUCAGGGGCAAUAACAUGCAUGGAGAUGUCAUCUCCUAUGAUAACAGUGCUAUCUUCUGGAUAUCUGUUGAGGAACCUGCCUGAGGCUGUUUUACAGUUAAAUUUAUAUAUAUAUACGUAUAUAUAUAUCAUAUACACACACAAAUUAUAUAUAUAUAAAGUUAACUAUAUAUAUAUAUACUUAUAUAUAUGUAGAAGCAGUACACUCUAAAAUAAUAACAUUAAGUAUAGUAUAGUAAAUAUAUAAACCAGUAACACAGUUAUUAUCAUUUUCAAGUAUUAUAUACUAUAUAUAAGUUGUAUAUGUUAUACUUUUAUAUGACUGGUAUCACAGUAGGUUUGUUUACACCAGCAUUACCACAAACACGUGAGUAAUAUGUUGCACUGACACAUUAUAAUGGGUAUGACAUCACUAGGUAGUAGAAAAUUUUCAGUUUAAUUAUUAUCUUGGCUGUUGUGGUGGCUCACACCCGUAAUCCCAGCACUUUCGGAGGCCCAGGUAGGAGGAUCAUUUAGGGCCAGGAGUUUAAAAUGAGCAUGGCAACAUAGGGAGACCCUAUCUCUAC
rnacentral:lncRNA from 1 species